CCCCCUUAGGUAAGAGGCGAGAGAGGCGGCAACAGCUCAAAUUUGAAAUCUGGCUCUUUCAGAGUCCGAGUUGUAAUUUGCAGAGGGCGCUUUGGCUUUGGCAGCGGUCCAAGUUCCUUGGAACAGGACGUCACAGAGGGUGAGAAUCCCGUACGUGGUCGCUAGCUAUUGCCGUGUAAAGCCCCUUCGACGAGUCGAGUUGUUUGGGAAUGCAGCUCUAAAUGGGAGGUAAAUUUCUUCUAAAGCUAAAUAUUGGCCAGAGACCGAUAGCGCACAAGUAGAGUGAUCGAAAGAUGAAAAGCACUUUGGAAAGAGAGUCAAACAGCACGUGAAAUUGUUGAAAGGGAAGCGCUUGCAGCCAGACUUGCUUGCAGUUGCUCAUCCGGGCUUUUGCCCGGUGCACUCUUCUGCAGGCAGGCCAGCAUCAGUUUGGGCGGUGGGAUAAAGGUCUCUGUCAUGUACCUCUCUUCGGGGAGGCCUUAUAGGGGAGGCGACAUACCACCAGCCUAGACUGAGGUCCGCGCAUCUGCUAGGAUGCUGGCGUAAUGGCUGUAAGCGGCCCGUCUUGAAACACGGACCAAGGAGUCUAACAUCUAUGCGAGUGUUUGGGUGUCAAGCCCGAGCGCGUAAUGAAAGUGAACGGAGGUGGGAACCCGCAAGGGUGCACCAUCGACCGAUCCUGAAGUUUACGGAAGGAUUUGAGUAAGAGCAUGGCUGUUGGGACCCGAAAGAUGGUGAACUAUGCUUGAAUAGGGUGAAGCCAGAGGAAACUCUGGUGGAGGCUCGCAGCGGGUUCUGACGUGCAAAUCGAUCGUCAAAUUUGGGCAUAGGGGCGAAAGACUAAUCGAACUAUCUAGUAAGCUGGUUCCUGCCGAAGUUUCCCUCAGGAUAGCAGUAACGUAUUCAGGUGUAUGAAGGGAGAGCGAAUGAUUAGGAGGGAUGGGGGUGUG
rnacentral:rRNA from 1 species